UUCGCCCAGAGGGCGCUGGGGGGCUGCUCCUGGGGGUGCCCGAGGCGGGCCUGGGGGCAGCCUGGCCUCUGCCCCUCCCCCUGCCACAGGGGACACAUUGUCCUUGGAGGAGUGGAAGGUGGUGCUGCGGAGCCAGACGGGGUGGGGGGGAGACUCCCGUAAGGACCCAGUCCAUUGCAGCCGAGCACCAAGCACCCUUUAGGGUGGCAGGAGCGGGGCCUGGGGACCGCUGUCUGUGUGGUUCCAGGAGCUGUGUGCAAGGUGGCUGCCUCCUGUGAGUGGAGGAGGGUGCUCCGGUGACAGGUGCAGGGCCCCAGAGUGGGAGGACGCGGUGGGGGUAGGGCCUCAGGUGGCUGGCGCCGCUUCCUGAGACUUUUGUUAUGAUGUGUGAGGGUCUUCAAAGUGACUGAGGAUGGCUUAUGAAGAAAGCCUGCUGUCAUUUAACCGUGCAGCUUCAGGCUCCGUCUCGGGAAGACUAAGGCAGCAGGCGCUGGGCAGACCAGCCGGCAUGGCCGCGAGUCGUGCUUUCCGCCUCUCUGGACGCCUUUCCGGCUGUGGGGUGAUGGAGGGUUAGCUCAGACUCCUAGGAGACCAUUAGGUGAGUGAUUCUGUUUCAGAAGGCAACUGCCUGACGACCUGAUUCAACUAGCCAGUCGGCAAGGCCUUGCCUCAGGGAUGCAGAGGCGUGUGAGUGUGCGCACGUGUGUGCGCCUGUGUGAGCACACGGGCCCUGUGUGUGCUGGCCAAUGUGAAGACUUGAAGACUUGAAGACAGAGUCCACUGGGUGAACCCUCAGAAGCGGCUCAGGGAAGAGCCUGAGUGAGCGCCCGUGUUCAGAAGCAGCUGUUCUGGGAACUGAACUGGGCUGACACGGCUUUAGCUGGGUCCACAGACGCACAUCCCUAACGUCACUUCCUUAGAGGUGACUUCCAGUGACACCGAGCCUGCUCCAUGUUGGCAGAGAUUUUCUCUGGAACUUCAGUUUUGGGUGAAUGUGGUAAAAUUGAAGGCUUUAGUUGUUUUAUUGCCGUGGAGCUUCCGUGGCCGACGAGGGAGCGGGCUGCACUGAGGGGAGUCUGCCCCCUGUGGUUCUUGCCCUUCCCUUGUGAGGGAGGGGACUAGAUGGGUGCCUCGGGUCUGCUCGCCGAGUCUGUUGCCCGCACCUGCAUGAAGACCAGGGGCUGCCGGUCUUCCUCUGCUGACCACUGCUUGUCCCCGCACAACCACUUCUCUCCCGUGAGCGUGGCCGGAACCUGGCAGCUGACGGCACCUUGGAGGCCUGAGCUGAAGUGCUCUGAGCUCUGAGUUGCGGCCACUGUGGGCGACCAUGUGUUUCCUGUGAGUGUGGAAGAAAUGGCAGCCCAGAGUCAAGACAGGCUGCAGGCUGCCGUGUGGACAACUGGCAUUUGGAAAAGCAGCCGUUUCGACCGUUCGAUAGGCAGCGUGCGAGUGUGGGGGGGCUGCUGCCGCAGCAGUCCUGGCUGUGGCCCCGCGCUGGCAGGAGGCCUUCCCGUCCUGGGAUUUUAAACAUUAAGGCUUGACACGGGAAGCCACGCCCUGUUUGUCAGGCUAAGCUGUCUUCCCAUUUGUUUCUGUUUGGAAAGUAAGGUUCCUGGCUAAGCACAGGGUUUUCACUUAGCCUGACCUCAGUUCUGUGGUCAUUGGCCUUUGAAAGCACGGCAGCAGUCGACGUGAGCCAGAGCUGCAGCGUGGUCCCAGCAGCCACAGGGCAGAAGCAGUGCCUUCACCUCCUGGUGGGGUGUUGGUGUGUCAGCAGAAGACAGGUAACCGCGAGUAGGCCCACAAGUCUGACUGGCUCACAGUGGGUUGGUCGGGUCCAGCCGCUCUUUACAGCAGUGAAAUCUGUAAAAGGGCCAAUUUGGGAUGUUUUAAGAGUGGAUUUCAUUAACGAAAAUGUUCUGUAGGAUACAGACCCCUGUUACUCACUUCAAGGCACGUAGUCACCUUUUACCCAAGGAAGACGGAGAGGAGGCCGAUAGAUGGAGGUUGUUAGAUGGCCUGCACCCAGUGGACCUGCACUCCAGUCCUUGCUUCGUGAGUGACGUCACAGAUGGACUUCCGAACACUUAACCCGUGCCCCCGCGUGGGAAGGCCAGCUGGACACUGGCACGGCUGGCAAGGUAGAAGAGCAGCCUUUGAAUGAAAGAUCUGGCUGCAGAGUGAUCCUGGAGGUCCAGGUGACGUCCACUUCACGAAGCAGCAGCCUGAGAGCUGAGCUGCCACAGAAACCGGGCACUGUGGGCGAUUACCGUAAAGAUGACUGGGGGAUCACGGAUGGCGGGGCCUGUGCUGGGCCUCGGAGACAUCGCCGUUUCGUCGUCACCUGCCAGGAGCACUCUCCGUGCCACGUGGGCCGUCCCAGUGCGCCCCUCGCUGAGGACUGUCAUUAUAAUUCAUACUGGAAUCAGUUGGAAUUGUUUCCUUCCCAGUCACAUGGUACUUGAUUCUACCAGGACGUUAUAAACACAAACAUAUUAACUACCCGUAUUCUGCGUCAGACACACAUCUUAGGUACCUCAAUGUGGAGAGAUAAUUUAGUUGCUAUUAUUUUGUCACAAUGCACCAAUUUCAAAGAGAAUUAAAAUAAUAUCACAUGG